CGAUCUAUACACCCAAACUGCUUCAUUAAGCUAAAGUGGUUUUGGUGCCUAUAGUGUCCCUUUAGGAAAAGUCAUUUUCUUCUCCCCAUGCCCCUUCCUUUUCCUGCCUAUACCUCUUUUCACAUAUGUCACCCAUAAUGUUUUAAAAUAGUCCAUAUUUCCGUGGAACAACGGAUCAAACUAUUACUUUUCAAAACACUUAAAUAUCUCCCACAGAGACAUACACAGUCACACAUACACACUCAUAAAGACAGUCACACUGACAGCCUCAUAAAGACAGUCAUACAAACAGAUUCAUAAACACAGUCAUACAGACAGCCACACAUAUAUACAUAUUUACACAGUCAUACAGACACAUUUACACAGAUAUACACACAGGCACACGUACACACUCAUAAAGACAGUCAUACAGACACCGUCACAGCCACGUGGCCUCAUACAGACAGCCACACAAAGUCAGUCACACACACUCAUUCAGAUGCAGGAGGCAGUUAAAUGAAAUGCUAAGAUUCGGCACAUAUAUUAAGGAGGCACACCCAUCACUUA